rnacentral:rRNA from 1 species
GUCCAUGCCGUAAACGAUGUCUACUAGCCGUUGGGGUCUUUGAGACCUUAGUGGCGCAGCUAACGCGAUAAGUAGACCGCCUGGGGAGUACGGUCGCAAGACUAAAACUCAAAUGAAUUGACGGGGGCCCGCACAAGCGGUGGAGCAUGUGGUUUAAUUCGAUGCAACGCGAAGAACCUUACCUGGCCUUGACAUAGUAGAAACUUUCCAGAGAUGGAUUGGUGCCUUCGGGAAUCUACAUACAGGUGCUGCAUGGCUGUCGU